rnacentral:rRNA from 1 species
CCUACGGGAGGCAGCAGUGAGGAAUCUUGGUCAAUGGGCGAGAGCCUGAACCAGCCAAGUCGCGUGAAGGAUGAAGGAUCUCUGGUUUGUAAACUUCUUUUAUAUGGGAAUAAAGUGGGGAUCGUGAUCCUUUUUUUAUAUACCAUAUGAAUAAACAUCGGCUAACUUUGUGCCAGCACACCCGGUAAUACGGAGGAUGCGUGCGUUAUCCGGAUUUAUUGGGUUUAAAGGGUGCGUAGGUGGUUAAUUAAGUCAGCGGUGAAAGUUUGCGGCUCAACCGUAGAAUUGCCGUUGAAACUGGUUGACUUGAGUAUAUAUGAGGAAGGCGGAAUGCGUGGUGUAGCGGUGAAAUGCAUAGAUAUCACGAAGAACUCCGAUUGCGAAGGCAGCUUACUAGUCUGUAACUGACACUGAGGCUCGAAAGCGUGGGUAUCAAACAGGAUUAGAUACCCCUGUAGUC